rnacentral:rRNA from 1 species
UACAGAGGGGGCAAGCGUUGUUCGGAAUUACUGGGCGUAAAGGGCGCGUAGGCGGCCUUCUAAGUCGAACGUGAAAUCCCCGGGCUCAACCCGGGAACUGCGUCCGAUACUGGAAGGCUUGAAUCCGGGAGAGGGAUGCGGAAUUCCAGGUGUAGCGGUGAAAUGCGUAGAUAUCUGGAGGAACACCGGUGGCGAAGGCGGCAUCCUGGACCGGCAUUGACGCUGAGACGCGAAAGCCAGGGGAGCAAACGGG